UUACUGAGUGUGGGCUCCGGCCCUACCUCCAACCCCAUGUCGAAACGACUCUGUUGCCUCGGGGGCGACCCGGCCUUCGGGCGUCGGGGCCCCCGGUGGACACCUUCAUAACUCUUGCAUCUCUUGCGUCUGAGUGAUACAUAUAAUCAAUCAAAACUUUCAACAACGGAUCUCUUGGUUCUGGCAUCGAUGAAGAACGCAGCGAAAUGCGAUAAGUAAUGUGAAUUGCAGAAUUCAGUGAAUCAUCGAAUCUUUGAACGCACAUUGCGCCCCCUGGCAUUCCGGGGGGCAUGCCUGUUCGAGCGUCAUUACACCACUCAAGCCUGGCUUGGUAUUGAGCGCCGCGGCCUGCCCGCGCGCUCCAAUGUCUCCGGCUGAGCCGUCCGUCUCUAAGCGUUGUGAAUAGCGAUCGCUUGCGAGGCCCGGGCGGUUCGACGCCGUUAAACCCCCCAUUUUCUAUGGUUGACCUCGGAUCAGGUAGGGAUACCCGCUGAACUUAAGCAUAUCAAUAAGCGGAGGAAAAGAAACCAACAGGGAUUGCCCUAGUAACGGCGAGUGAAGCGGCAACAGCUCAAAUUUGAAAUCUGGCGCAAGCCCGAGUUGUAAUUUGUAGAGGAUGCUUCUGGGCAGCGGCCGGUCUAAGUUCCUUGGAACAGGACGUCAUAGAGGGUGAGAAUCCCGUAUGCGACCGGCUUGCACCCGUCACGUAGCUCCUUCGACGAGUCGAGUUGUUUGGGAAUGCAGCUCUAAAUGGGAGGUAAAUUUCUUCUAAGGCUAAAUACCGGCCAGAGACCGAUAGCGCACAAGUAGAGUGAUCGAAAGAUGAAAAGCACUUUGGAAAGAGAGUUAAAAAGCACGUGAAAUUGUUGAAAGGGAAGCUCACGCAGCCAGACUUGUCGGCGGUGUUCCGCCGGUCUUCUGACCGGUCUAUUCGCCGCCGGCAGGCCAGCAUCACUUGGGAGCGCCGGAUAAAGGCGUGCGGAAGUGUAGCCCCUCGGGGCAUUAUAGCCGCGCGCACAAUACGGCG
rnacentral:rRNA from 1 species